ACCAGGCAUUCCAGGCACUCUCCCUGCUGGCACUGCUGUGGACGGCUAUGAGUCCCCCCACUGCGAUCGCCGGCAUGGGAUCGCCGGCAACCGGGUCCAGCACUAAACGGGACUAGGCUUGUUCCUUUUUCUAGGACCAAACCAAUAUUUAGGACCAAGGAUUUGUUUGUUCAGUCUGCACAAAAAAACAACCGGG